GGACCUGUUUAUAUAUAUGAUCAUAACCGAACCUGUAUACACGACCGUGAUGGCAACACUGCUUUUGCAUGCAUCGAAAGUCCUAUUUUAUUGCAGUGAAGGCAAUGGAAAUGAAAUAUAAAUAUUGGGAAUAAUAGAAAUAACAUAUGUAUAAACCUUUAGAAGGUAUUAAAGGUGUUUGCCUGUAUGUAAAAUAUUUACACUGUUUAAAGGGAAUGUAAAUGUACUGCAAAAUAAGUAAGAACUGAACUAUAGCUUCAAAAAUAAAUAAAUAAAAAUAUUUAAAAAAUGAAAUUGUCUAAAUGAAAGAGGUUAAGUGAAUAUAUAGCAUAAGUGAAGAUGAGCCAUGGAUAUAGGAAUAUAGGGAACGAGUAAUGACUGAGGGGUGCUGAAGCUAUUUCUGGGAAGCGGAGAACGUAGUUUUGGGGCCGCAUUGAUAAUUGGUCGUGGCAAACGCAAUCUCUUAAUCUCAUCGAGCAAGAGUAAAUUAGUGUAACUAGUUUUCUCCUUCUGACAUACAUCAUUGAGUCAGUCACUAAGUCACCAAUAACCAAUGUAGUUCCAAUUAUCACCUGAUCAUGUUCCCAGUUCCCUAGAAGUAACUUCACACUCCUUGCCUGAACUAGACAUUUAUGUUCGAUUCUUAUAUUCCUAUGUCCAUAAAUAGCUGAGCAAUAAGAAUAACUCACGAGAAAUAACUAGAAUUUUUGCAAAUAUGAACAAAAAUUUUCAUGUCAAUAUUUGUAAAACAUGAUAAAUUUCGCACACCACUUUAGAGGUAGCGCAUUAUCGUUUUUAAUUUUUAAUAAUAAUAUAAGUGCUAGGAUUUCAUAAUUCUUCAUUCCUUGGAAAUAAAAAAAACAGAAACACAA